rnacentral:sRNA from 1 species
GCAAGAACUGAGCGUCCAGCGCCCGGCGAGCAGGUGCCUGUGGCGCGGAGCGCACCAGGGAGCCAGCAGGCAGUGGCCUGAUUCAUCCUGAAAUUCUCUGUGUGUUUUAAGAGCCAGGAUAUUCCUGAAUGGGUUCUCAGUAGCGCAUCUCCAGGCUGCCAAGGAAGACUGGUCACAUUCCUGAGAACUGACUUUCUGCAAAGCCUCCCAGAGAGCCCAAAUUUAGGACACUUGAAGUGAGAGAAGAUGCCUUCUCUGUUAUGCCUGUAAACAUAAGAAACGCUUUACAAAGUUCUGGAAAGAAGAGAAAACAGCUCUCUGUUAGAGCGACAGCUCCAGAAUGUGUGCCCAAUUCAAAGAAAAUCCAACUCGCUGCCUGUCUCUUCCAAGAAAGCUUUAUGCUCUUCGGGGCUCUGGGUGUGCUGUGGCUUCCUCAGUGCCAUGGUGGCACCGCUGAAUAGUUAUGUAGUAGGGACUGUGUUGCCUUGCAUAGAUGAAAGUGUAGGCCACCUGGUUCUCUUAAGAAAAGUAAACAGGAAAGAAUUGAUCAAAACAAGGAAACAAACAACAACAAACCGUACAAUGAGUGCAGUUUGUAUUUUGAGUUGGUGAAGAGCUAGGCCUCAUCCUUCGGUGGAUCAGCGGAAGGUGACUCUAUAGCCUGACCUCUGUGUCCAUCUCCUGAUGAAACAGAAUCUCAGGUCAUUGGUCCCUCCAACCUUUAAAAACCAAGUUCUAAAUAGAACUUGUUACCCAAAAGAGGUUGAUUUUCCAAGUGGUUCAAGUUGCAUCUAGAGUCUAGAGAAAGGAAAAGCAGAGGCAAAAGGAGUUGAGAACCCCAAGACAUUGAAAACCUAGGCUUGACCAAGGCUCCCAGCCAAGGAUAGGCCAUACUAGGGUGAUCCUCUGUUUGGCUUAAUGUAGAGCACAGUGCAGGAAACAGCACCCAGCCAAACAAGACACACGAAAUGACUACUCACAUUGCCAGGGAGACCACUACUCGUAACGAAAGUUCCUGAUCCGUAGGACAAGAGUCCUGCUGGGAGUCAUAGGGAACAGGGUAAUAGAAGGAGGUCACAAAACAAGUGACGAAGAUGAGCCAGGGACCUGUAGCCUCGCAUGGAAAUGGUAAUUAUAGUAGAGCAAAGGGCUCUUUGAAAGAGUGACAUAAUAAAACUCUCAAACCAGGCGUAAUUUCCCCUGACACCGAGCGUGCAUGAAUAACACACACAGUCAAAUAGAAGAGUAAUCAGACUUGAAAUAUUCCUUUAAUAAUACGUUUGCCAGAUCAAAUAUUAAAAAUAGAAGAUGGAGAAAAGGAGCAGCCAUCCCCCGUGGUAUCAGCUCCAUAAAUAUUGCUUCAUUAAGCUGUCUGCGUCGGUUCAGGGAGAUGGAUUUCCAAAUGUGGCCAAGGUUCCAGACUGCUGGCUGGGAUGAGCAGAAGAUGCGGGGCUGCAGGCGUUGCUUCGCCUGUGCUGUGUCUGCCUCUGUGGCGAGGGCAUCACUUGACAGCCGGAGCUGGCCCAACAUCUGCCCAAAGGAUACCAGCUUAUUUAUUGGGAGCCAGAACUCUCCCAUUGGUACACCCGUGGCUUUCAGCCCAGCCAAACAGUGGGGAAUUAAUAAUGAUGGUACUUGAUUUUCUGAAGAUGUUCUGGGGGUAGAUUUCUCAGUCAUCCUUCUGGUGUUUUUCUGAGGCUAGGGAACAGGAUAGAGAAAGUAGAAACUUGGUUGCCAACCCAGGCCACUGCUUGCAAAGAGGCCUGAAGAUAGGGUAAUGGGUCAUGGUGCUGGAGAUCUGGAUGAAUCUUCGGUGAGAGUUACAAAGCAUUUUGAGGGGUCAAGGGUGUUGAGACAGAGGGUGAAAGAAGAGGAUGGCAAGUUCAAGGCCAGAGUGGCUUCUAUAGUGAGACCCUGUCUCAAAUAGCAAAGGGAUAAAAUAAGCACAUGAAGGGUUGGGAGACUGUAUCUCAUUCAAGGCCACAUACCUUUGGGUCUCAGGCACCAUGCCAAGAAGUUAAAAGAAGAAUGGAUCAAAACUUUAUGGGUUUGAUCCUAUAGAAUAGUUCCUAUAAUCUAUACCCACAAGCUGCAUCCUUCAGACUGUCUCUGCCUGUCAAAUGCAGAACUACAGUUCUUGCAUUUGGUACCCCAGAUCCAGGAUUAGUGAAUUCUCAAAAAUACAGAGCCAACAUGCUAACUGACUAACUGUUGGUAAAUCUCAUUGUCAUAGUGUGAAGAAAUGUCUUUGAAUUCGAGAAAAUUUUGCUCUCCUUUUUGUCCAACCACCCAUUGCCACAAUAUCAGUUUUCAGAAAUAAAGUUCAAAAAAGUU